UAAGGAAUAUUGGACAAUGGUCGCAAGACUGAUCCAGCCAUGCCGCGUGCAGGAAGACGGCCCUAUGGGUUGUAAACUGCUUUUGUACCAGAGAAAACCUAUCUACGUGUAGAUAUCUGAUAGUAUGGUAAGAAUAAGCAUCGGCUAACUUCGUGCCAGCAGCCGCGGUAAGACGAAGGAUGCAAGCGUUAUCCGGAUUCAUUGGGUUUAAAGGGCGCGUAGGCGGGCUUGUAAGUCAGUGGUGAAAUCUCUCAGCUUAACUGAGGAACUGCCAUUGAUACUGCAGGCCUAGAGUAUAGAUGACGUUGGCGGAAUAUAACAUGUAGUGGUGAAAUACUUAGAUAUGUCAUAGAACACCGAUUGCGAAGGCAGCUAACGAAACUAUAACUGACGCUGAGGCACGAAAGUGCGGGGAUCAAACA
rnacentral:rRNA from 1 species